rnacentral:rRNA from 1 species
UACGGGGGGUGCAAACGUUGCUCGGAAUCAUUGGGCGUAAAGCGCACGUAGGCGGUCCGCAAAGUCUGAUGUGAAAGCCCCGGGCUCAACCUGGGAACUGCAUUGGAAACUAACGGGCUCGAGUGUGGCAGAGGGGGGUGGAAUUCCACGUGUAGCAGUGAAAUGCGUAGAGAUGUGGAGGAACACCGAUGGCGAAGGCAGCCCCCUGGGCUAACACUGACGCUCAGGCACGAAAGCGUGGGGAGCAAACAGG